GAUGAACGCUGGCGGCGUGCUUAACACAUGCAAGUCGAACGAAGCACCUUGAUUUGAUUCUUCGGAUGAAGAUCUUGGUGACUGAGUGGCGGACGGGUGAGUAACGCGUGGGUAACCUGCCUCAUACAGGGGGAUAACAGUUAGAAAUGACUGCUAAUACCGCAUAAGACCACAGCACCGCAUGGUGCAGGGGUAAAAACUCCGGUGGUAUGAGAUGGACCCGCGUCUGAUUAGGUAGUUGGUGGGGUAACGGCCUACCAAGCCGACGAUCAGUAGCCGACCAGAGAGGGUGCCCGGCCACCUUGGGAAUGAGACACGGCCCAAACUCCUACGGGAGGAAGCAGUGGGGAAUAUUGCACGAUGGGGGAAACCCGGAUGCAGCGACGCAGCGUGAGCGAUGAAGUAUUUCGGUAUGUAAAGCUCUAUCAGCAGGGAAGAAAAUGACGGUACCUGACUAAGAAGCACCGGCUAAAUACGUGCCAGCCGCCGCCGUAAGAC
rnacentral:rRNA from 1 species